CUUUUUCGUAUUAGCUCUAAGUUCUUUCGGUCGUUUUUUAUGAUCCCCGACUUUUCGUAUUAACUCUAAGUUCUUUCGGUCGUUUUUUAUGAUCCCCGACUUUUUGUAUUAUCUCUAAGUUCUUUCGGUCGUUUUUUAUGAUCCCCGACUUUUCGUAUUAGCUCUAAGUUCUUUCGGUCGUUUUUUAUGAUCCCCGACUUUUCGUUUUAGCUCUAAGUUCUUUCGGUCGUUUUUUAUGAUCCCCGACUUUUUGUAUUAGCUCUAAGUUCUUUCGGUUGUUUUUUAUGAUCCCCGACUUUUCGUAUUAGCUCUAAGUUCUUUCGGUCGUUUUUUAUAAUCCCCGACUUUUUCGUAUUAGCUCUUAGUUCUUUUGGUCGUUUUUUUUUAUCCCCGACUAUUCGUAUUAGCUCUAAAUUCUUUCGGUCGUUUUUUAUGAUCCCCGACUUUUUCGUAUUAGCUCUAAGUUCUUUCGGUCGUUUUUUAUGAUCCCCGACUUUUCGUAUUAGCUCUAAGUUCUUUCGGUCGUUUUUUAUGAUCCCCGACUUUUCGUAUUAGCUCUAAGUUCUUUCGGUUGUUUUUUAUGAUCUCUGACUUUUCGUAUUAGCUCUAAGUUAUUUCGGUCUUUUUUUAUGAUCCCCGACUUUUUCGUAUUAGCUCUAAGUUCUUUCGGUCAUUUUUUAUUAUCCCCGACUCUUCGUAUUAGCUCUAAGUUCUUUCGGUCGUUUUAUAUGAUCCCCGACUUUUCGUAUUAGCUCUAAGUUCUUUCGGUCGUUUUUUAUGAUCCCCGACUUUUUCGUAUUAGCUCUAAGUUCUUUCGGUCGUUUUUAAUGAUCCCCGACUUUUCGUAUUAGCUCUAAGUUCUUUCGGUCCGUUUUUAUGAUCCCCGACUUUGCGUAUUAGCUCUAAGUUCUUUCGGUCGAUUUUUAUGAUCCCCGACUUUUCGUAUUAGCUCUAAGUUCUUUCGGUCGUUUUUUAUGAUCCCCGACUUUUUGUAUUAGCUCUAAGUUCUUUCGGUCGUUUUUUAUGAUCCCCGACUUUUCGUAUUAGCUCUAAGUUCUUUCGGUCGUUUUU
rnacentral:lncRNA from 1 species